GACGAACGCUGGCGGCGUGCCUAAUACAUGCAAGUCGAACGCUUCCUAUCGGUGCUUGCACCGAGAAAGAAGAGUGGCGGACGGGUGAGUAACACGUGGGUAACCUACCUAUAAGCGGGGGAUAACAUUCGGAAACGGAUGCUAAUACCGCAUAGAUCUUAAUGCCUCCUGGCAUUGGGAAGAAAGACGGCUUCGGCUGUCACUUGUAGAUGGAACCGCGGCGCAUUAGUUAGUUGGUGAGGUAAUGGCCCACCAAGACGAUGAUGCGUAGCCGACCUGAGAGGGUGAUCGGCCAAACUGGGACUGAGACACGGCCCAGACUCCGACGGGAGGCAGCAGUAGGGAAUCUUCCGCAAUGGACGAAAGUCUGACGGAGCAACGCCGCGUGAGUGAAGAAGGUUUUCGGAUCGUAAAACUCAGUUGUUAGAGAAGAACAAGGAUGAGAGUAACUGUUCAUCCCUUGACGGUAUCUAACCAGAAAGCCAUGGCUAACUACGUGCCAGCCGCCGCUGUAAAAC
rnacentral:rRNA from 1 species